rnacentral:rRNA from 1 species
GAGGCGAACCGGGGGAACUGAAACAUCUAAGUACCCCGAGGAAAAGAAAUCAACCGAGAUUCCGAAAGUAGCGGCGAGCGAAAUUGGACUAGCCCUUAAGCUUUACACGCGUUAGACGAACGGUCUGGAAAGUCCGACGAUACAGGGUGAUAGUCCCGUAGUUGACGACGUGUGUUCAGUGAAAUCGAGUAGGGCGGGACACGUGAUAUCCUGUCUGAAUAUGGGGGGACCAUCCUCCAAGGCUAAAUACUACUGACUGACCGAUAGUGAACCAGUACCGUGAGGGAAAGGCGAAAAGAACCCCUGUGAGGGGAGUGAAAUAGAACCUGAAACCGUGUACGUACAAGCAGUAGGAGCAGGCUUUGUCCUGUGACUGCGUACCUUUUGUAUAAUGGGUCAGCGACUUAUAUUCAGUGGCAAGGUUAACCAUCUAGGGGAGCCGUAGGGAAACCGAGUCUUAACUGGGCGUUCAGUCUCUGGAUAUAGACCCGAAACCAGGUGAUCUAGCCAUGGGCAGGUUGAAGGUUGAGUAACAUCAACUGGAGGACCGAAC